AGAGUUUUGAGUCCUGGCUCAGGACGACGCUGGCGGCGUGCUUAACACAUGCAAGUCGAACGCUGAAGCCCAGCUUGCUGGGUGGAUGAGUGGCGAACGGGUGAGUAACACGUGAGUAACCUGCCCCUUCUUUGGGAUAACGCCCGGAAACGGGUGCUAAUACUGGAUAUUCACUGGCCUUCGCAUGGGGGUUGGUGGAAAGGUUUUUUCUGGUGGGGGAUGGGCUCGCGGCCUAUCAGCUUGUUGGUGGGGUGAUGGCCUACCAAGGCUUUGACGGGUAGCCGGCCUGAGAGGGUGACCGGUCACAUUGGGACUGAGAUACGGCCCAGACUCCUACGGGAGGCAGCAGUGGGGAAUAUUGCACAAUGGGCGAAAGCCUGAUGCAGCGACGCCGCGUGAGGGAUGACGGCCUUCGGGUUGUAAACCUCUUUCGCUCAUGGUCAAGCCGCAACACUUGGUUGUGGUGAGGGUAGUGGGUAAAGAAGCGCCGGCUAACUACGUG
rnacentral:rRNA from 1 species